CUGUGUCUGGUAUUCGUCGGUCAUCUAUAAACUUUUCAAAUUUUUACAUUCAUGAGAAUUAUUCCUAGUUUGAAUAAAAAUCCCUGCAAGAUACAUCUUUUCUUUCAGAAAUUGUGCCAGAAAAGUUUGAAGUAGCUAUGGGAAUGAUCAACAUUGAACUUGCUGAGGCUCUCUUCCUGAAAGUGACUUGACCAGAUAUUUGGCUACCCAGUAUGAGCUUUUUACCAUAUCCAUAGUAUCUUGCUGCUAAAUGAAAGAAUUAGUGUGGAGGAGCAGAGAAAAGGGCACCUCAACAUGUUCAAGGUCAAGCAGAAAUUAGGAGCUAGGUGUGCUUCUCCAGAGCUGAAAACUUCUUGGCAUGAAGAGAAGAAGAAGCAAGAAAAAGCAGUUUUAAAUAUUGAUUACGUCUUCAUAGUACAAAAAAUGAUUCUAAAGAUAAUACUAUCUAUGAAAUUAGAAAGCUGAAGUUGCGUUCUGAUGAAUGUGAGAAUGUCUUCAAAGAACAGGACACCAAAAGUGCCAUUCUCAAAUCAAAGCACUCUAAAAGGCAGAGCAUAAGAAGAACUAGGACAAAUAAAGAAUCUAAAAGAGUCAAACCUAUGGAUGUAUUAAUUGAACAGAGAUGGGCUAUUAGAGAUGAAAUAUCUGAGUUGCUACUGUUUUGCACAAAUUCAAUGUUAGAUAAGAAAAAUAUACCUAGUGUUGUAUUUUUGACAGUGAAAGUUUUUUCUUAUGCUUGAUUACAGAU